CACCCUUGUAGUUUUCGAAAAAGAGCAGGCUAAUGCCGCUACAAGGCAGCACUUGCACCCGCAAAGUUGAAAGGGAUUAAUAUAAGUUGCAAAACUUGUUUCCUAAUCCACUAUAAUUAUGUUUAAAUUAAGACAAUUGACAAUCCUAUCAAUUAAGACGAGCCAAACGCUUUUAUUGGUUGAAGAAGCCGAAAUUGAUUAUUCCCAAAAAGACCUGCUUCAAGACAACUGACAAUGUUAGUCAAUUAAUAUGAGCCAAACGCUUUUAUUGGUUAACGAAUUAACGAAAGGAAAUGCCCGACCAAACCUUCAAAAAGACAAGUUCAUUUAAGAUGAGUAAAACACUUCUGUUAGUUAAGAAGCCACAG
rnacentral:lncRNA from 1 species